rnacentral:misc_RNA from 1 species
CCGUGACGGCACGUGAGUGGUGAGAUAACCCAGUGCGCUGGCGGGCCCCCUGCAUAAGUGCGCUCGACCGCGAGUGCGAUGGGAUACGUUUCGUUCUCGAAAUCCCAAAAUCAUUGGGGCUCCGCACGAUGUAGAGGGCAUAUUCAGUGGGUUGUAUCACAUAGUCGGCACGUAGCAACUUGGUGACCCUACAUUAGUAACAUCAUGUCCUCCUCCUCUCUCUCUCAUCCACUCCCCUCGGACGGGCAAGAAGCGGGAAGCGGCCUCUUACGACGACGUCCAGUACGUCCUCGGCAGCGCUUGCAGUCGUACGUGUGCGUACGUGUUGCCUGCUUCGUCCGUCCAGACCUCGGGACAGUUGAGUGCUUACGGAUGUAGUGAAUUGGAUGGGGGUCAGGUGGGCGCACGCUACUGCCAACCCGACAAAUGGAACCCCGACGAAUGGAACGUGUUUGCGCAUGCCGCGAGCGGGCAAAUGAACGGAACGGAACGAACGACCGCCGGCGGGCGGGCAUGCGUCAUCGUCGUCUCGUCUCUGCGGAGGAGGAGAUGAUGGGCUGCGCAGUCUGCGGGCGUCGUCUCGAAGGGCUGGCUACCUGUUUGAUC